rnacentral:rRNA from 1 species
CUCUCUAAACUGAAUAGUUUUUAUAAGCAAAGAAGUAAGAAGGGAUGGGCUACUGAUGGUGAUCGUAAUACGAAAUUUUUUCAUCAAGCUGUGCUUAAGAGAAGGAAAAGGAAUACUAUCUGCUCGGUUAAGGAUGAAAAUAAUAUUGUGCAUUUUAAGCCUAGUCUCAUUGCUAAUUACUUUGUUAAUUAUUUCAGCAACUGUGGUAGACCUUUUCUUGCUUCUCAAUUACCGGAGGGCUCUUUGGACCCUACUUAUUUAAUUCCGGAUAAAAAUGAGGUCUUGCAGAUUUUGAAGGACAUGAACUUGAAUGCUUCUCCAGGGCCAGAUGGUUUUAAUGUCGAAUUUUAUUUGGCUACUUGGAAUUGGAUAGGAGACGAUGUCACUCAAUUGGUAGUCAAUUUUUAUAGAACAGGUAUAUUGCCCUCUCACGUGAGUGAUACAAACAUUGCUCUCAUUCCAAAAAAACUUGUUCCUCAGGUUCCUAUGGAUUAUCGUCCC